rnacentral:rRNA from 1 species
UGCCCAGUCGAGGGGGAUAACAGUUGGAAACGACUGCUAAUACCGCAUACGCCCUACGGGGGAAAGCAGGGGACCUUCGGGCCUUGCGCGAUUGGAUAUGCCCAGGUGGGAUUAGCUAGUUGGUGAGGUAAUGGCUCACCAAGGCGACGAUCCCUAGCUGGUCUGAGAGGAUGAUCAGCCACACUGGAACUGANACNCGGUCCAGACUCCUACGGGAGGCAGCAGUGGGGAAUAUUGCACAAUGGGGGAAACCCU